CCUACGGGCGGCAGCAGUGAGGAAUAUUGGUCAAUGGGCGCGAGCCUGAACCAGCCAAGUCGCGUGAGGGAAGACGGUCCUAUGGAUUGUAAACCUCUUUUGUCGGGGAGCAAAAGACGCCACGCGUGGCGUUCCGAGAGUACCCGAAGAAAAAGCAUCGGCUAACUCCGUGCCAGCAGCCGCGGUAAUACGGAGGAUGCGAGUGUUAUCCGGAUUUAUUGGGUUUAAAGGGUGCGCAGGCGGAAGAUCAAGUCAGCGGUAAAAUUGAGAGGCUCAACCUCUUCGGGCCGUUGAAACUGGUUGUCUUGAGUGAGUGAGAAGUAGGCGGAAUGCGUGGUGUAGCGGUGAAAUGCAUAGAUAUCACGCAGAACUCCGAUUGCGAAGGCAGCAUACCGGCGCUCAACUGACGCUCAUGCACGAAAGUGUGGGUAUCGAACAGGAUUAGAUACCCGGGUAGUC
rnacentral:rRNA from 1 species